GCUGGCUACUGCAGACGUAUACUAAAAUGGAAACAAUGCAGAGCAGAUUAGCACAGCCCCUGUGCAAGGAUUCCAUGCAGAUAUCUGCCACAUUCUGGAUGUUU